UCUAAAUUGACACAAAAAUGUCAGGUAUUUUAUUUACCUCCUACUACGCUAUCUGAGAUAAAAAUACCUUAUCCGAACUUAAUAAGGAAUCAUUUUGGGACAAAUUAAUACACUAUAUUUGUUGCAGACAUUUAAAUCAGGAAGUAAAUUAGGGAUUCGAUUGACUAAACUGUAACCAUCAACUAAAAUGUGAAUUUGUAUGUGUCACUUCAAUAAUAAAGGGAUAUGGUCCUGCCAUGA